rnacentral:miRNA from 1 species
CAGGAUGAGGUGGAGUGCAGCG